rnacentral:rRNA from 1 species
CGGCGUGCCUAAUACAUGCAAGUCGAACGCACUCUCGUUUAGAUUGAAGGAGCUUGCUCCUGAUUGAUAAACAUUUGAGUGAGUGGCGGACGGGUGAGUAACACGUGGGUAACCUGCCCUAAAGUGGGGGAUAACAUUUGGAAACAGAUGCUAAUACCGCAUAAAACCUAACACCGCAUGGUGUAGGGUUGAAAGAUGGUUUCGGCUAUCACUUUAGGAUGGACCCGCGGUGCAUUAGUUAGUUGGUGAGGUAAAGGCUCACCAAGACCGUGAUGCAUAGCCGACCUGAGAGGAUAAUCGGCCACACUGGGACUGAGACACGGCCCAGACUCCUACGGGAGGCAGCAGUAGGGAAUCUUCCACAAUGGACGAAAGUCUGAUGGAGCAACGCCGCGUGAGUGAAGAAGGUUUUCGGAUCGUAAAACUCUGUUGUUGGAGAAGAAUGUAUCUGAUAGUAACUGAUCAGGUAGUGACGGUAUCCAACCAGAAAGCCACGGCUAACUACGUG